GGUGUCUGGACACAAGCUGACAGCGAAGCCAAAUGUGAACUGUUAUCAGUGGAAGCAUGAUGGAUGUCCUUCUCAGUGGUCAUAUUCCAAGCCUACUGGGUUAUGCCUCCGACUGUUCACAUCGCGAGUUACCAAUAAUGUCGCGAGACAAACAUGUGUGGACAAUGGCGGAAGACUCGUGAACAUCCAGAAUUCAAAAGAAAACAACCUGAUCCGAAAAAUUAUGUUGGGAGAAGGUGCUGGCCUCCACAUUGGGUUGAAGAAGACGUCUUUGGUGUGGACAUGGCACCUUGGGGAGGACCUUGGUGCUUUCAGGUCAUGGAGCAGUGGUCAUCCCAAAUCUGGAAACUGUGUUGUUAUGAGCAAACUAACCAAAGACUGGUACACAGAUUCUUGUUCAAAUACUAGGGGAUGUGUAUGCCAAAUCGUCCUAAACAACCAUUUCGGUGAUUGUUAAGUCGAAGUAGGAGGAGGUAACGUGUUCGGGAACUUCUUCGGCGAGGCAGGAUUUAAUGUCAUUGAAGAUAAUACUGAGCUGACAAUCUAAAAAUCUUGUUUAAAUGUACUGAUGACCUCUAAUCGUUCCUUCCUCACUAAAAAAUUAAAGUGCAACCAAAAUAUAAAAAAGCAAAACACUUUCCUAUUUUCCUUUUCGCAUUGUUUGCUGGAAAAUUGUUGGGUGCGGCGAUAAACAACAAACAUGCUUGCAAGGACUUCUGUCAGAACCUUAACUAGAAAUAGAAUUGUUACAUAAAUUUUGUUAAAUGAUUUGUAAAUAGAUGAAUAUUUUAGUAUUGGCAGUUUAAUUGACCAGCUGAGAUUGUGAGUGGCUGUAUCCUCAUGGGGUGGGGUGGGGGUGUGAAGUA